GACGAACCGUGCGAACGUUAUUCGGAAUCACUGGGCUUAAAGGGCGCGUAGGCGGGUUGCCAAGUCUGUGGUGAAAUCCUCCAGCUUAACUGGAGAACGGCCGUGGAUACUGGCGACCUCGAGGGGGUGAGGGGCUUGCGGAACUGUGCGUGGAGCGGUGAAAUGCGUUGAUAUGCACAGGAACUCCGGUGGCGAAGGCGGCGAGCUGGACCCUUUCUGACGCUGAGGCGCGAAAGCCAGGGAGCGAACGGG
rnacentral:rRNA from 1 species